UAUUGGACAAUGGGGCAAACCCUGAUCCAGCGAUGCCGCGUGAGGGAAGAAGGUUUUCGGAUUGUAAACCUCUGUGGAGGGGGACGAUAAUGACGGUACCCCUUUAGGAAGCCACGGCUAACUACGUGCCAGCAGCCGCGGUAAUACGUAGGUGGCGAGCGUUGUCCAGAAUUACUGGGUGUAAAGGGAGUGUAGGCGGGAAAGCAAGUCAGAAGUGAAAACUGUGGGCUUAACCCAUAGCCUGCUUUUGAAACUGUUUUUCUUGAGUGAAGUAGAGGCAAGCGGUAUUCCUAGUGUGGCGGUGAAAUGCGUAGAUAUUAGGAGGAACACCAGUGGCGAAGGCGGCUUGCUGGGCUUUUACUGACACUGAGGCUCGAAAGCGUGGGGAGCAAACAGG
rnacentral:rRNA from 1 species